rnacentral:rRNA from 1 species
GAACGAACGCUGGCGGCAUGCCUAACACAUGCAAGUCGAACGAGACCUUCGGGUCUAGUGGCGCACGGGUGCGUAACGCGUGGGAACCUGCCCUUAGGUUCGGAAUAACUCUCCGAAGGGGGUGCUAAUACCGGAUAUUGUCUUCGGCCCAAAGAUUUAUCGCCUGUGUAUGGUCCCGCGUAGGAUUAGCUAGUUGGUAGGGUAAAAGCCUACCAAGGCGACGAUCCAUAGCUGGUCUGAGAGGAUGAUCAGCCACACUGGGACUGAGACACGGCCCAGACUCCUGCGGGAGGCAGCAGUGGGGAAUAUUGGACAAUGGGCGAAAGCCUGAUCCAGCAAUGCCGCGUGAGUGAUGAAGGACUUAGGGUUGUAAAGCUCUUUUACCCGGGAUGAUAAUGACAGUACCGUGAGAAUAAGCUCCGGCUAACUCCGUG